CUGCUGCUCAUCAGCCUCAACUGUGUCUGUGGAACAUUUGUAGUGAAUGUGACACAGACCUCCUAUCAGGCAGAGGAGAACCACAACAUCACACUGGAAUGGACGUUCACAACCACAGCUGACACUUCAACAGACUCCCUUUUAAUAUUCUGUGAGAUGAGAACUGAUCACAAAGUCUCAGUCCUGUUUUUACUACAAGGAGGUGUUGUGGUCCCAGAGUCUCAGGAUCAGCAGUUUGUAGGACGAGUCCAUUUGGACAAAGAUGCCCUCAGUGACGGACGACUCAGACUUCAUGUGUCCAGACUCAGCACUGAGGACUCAGGCUGGUACCUGUGUGAUGUGAGGACAAACUAUGGUGUGGACUCAGGUGAAUGUCGGCUCAACGUCUCUGAUGCAGAACACACAGCAGGAGGGCAGAAGAGGGAAGUGACAUCACACGAUUGGAGCAAAGUUGAAAUGGUUCUCAGAGCCGUUCCCUUUGGAGCAUUAUUAUUCGCUAAUCUAAUAGUUCUCUUCAUUGCAGCUGAAAGAUUUUUGGCAGCUGUCAUUCAUCAAGGUAAUAAUAGUAAAAAAGAUGAAAAUCACAACAAAUCUGCUCAUACUGACAACUGCAAUCAUGUUAAAAGAGAUUUGUUUCUGAGUUCUGUGAGCUGCUGAUGUACAGGAACAGAUCUAUGGUCUGAUAUUUCAUUGGUUUGAUGACGAACUGACAAACAUAUGUGUGAUUCAUGACACAAUUCAGACAGGAUCAAUGUGAAUGUGUCUGACAGCAGGCAGCCUCUUGAAACUGUCAGUGAACAUCAGGUCUCAUCAUGUUGUACUGCAGCUGUCAGGUCAAAGUGCAGAUUGAUGUGAAAAGGAUCCACUGCAUUAUGACUCAACAUAACUGGAACAUUAACAACAGAAGCAGUUCACCAG